CCUCUCACCCGUGAGGACGUCCGCUCGUUACUUCUGAGAAUUCUUGAAGAAAACCCACAGAAAGAAUAUACUUUUAUCACGAAGACAGAACAGUUUUAGAGGAUAUAUUCGUGUAAUUCACUACAAAAUCCGCUAAUUUAUUAGCCACUGGAUAUUGGGGCUUAGUAGCUCAAGAACACUGUCGAUAUGCAAGUUAUAUAUGAAGCACAAGGAUAUCACUAAUGAAUGAUGCACAGGACACAAUAACCAGUGUAUGUUGCACAGGACACAAUAACCAGUGUAUGUUGCACAGGACACAAUAACCAGUGUAUGAUGCACAGGACACAAUAACCAGUGUCUGAUGCACAGGACACAAUAACCAGUGUCUGAUGCACAGGACACAAUAACCAGUGUAUGAUGCACAGGACACAAUAACCAGUGUAUGAUGCACAGGACACAAUAACCAGUGUAUGAUGCACAGGACA